CAGCGGCCCCUUCCGGCCGCACCGCCGCGCUGCGCGCUGCUCUUGGGAGGUGGAGGAAGCAAAGGGGCGAACCUGGUCUUGCUUUUUAUUGCUUGCUUCUUUUGCAAACUCCAAAGGCCAGGCAGAGGUCACUGUACUCUUCUAGCUUGAUGGAUGAUUAAAGAGUUUGUCGGGGGAGGGUGCGGUCAGCUGAAAGUUUCAGAGGAACUGGGACACACGAGCUCUGCGUGUCCUUUGCCUGCUGCCCCCCUGACCUCUGGGCGAAUGGAAAGUGGCGAUGAAUCGCAGGUGCCAGAUGGUGCCGGCUGAGGCCACCCGCCCACUGCCUGUGCUUGACUCCGACUCGCCUGCGUUGGAUUUCUAGUGGAGUGGAGAUAAGUUUUUGGAUGUGCUUCCAGCAUUUUGUCCGUUGGCAGUAAAUCAGUUGUUGAAGGGAAUUGCUCAUCAACAUCCAUCACCUAGAACGCUGGCCAAAUACUGGGAGCCCUCCCCAUUUUCCAUAAGCUGAUGUAUUUCACCCUUAGUCAUUUAAACUAAACACAGAUGUUUUUAUAGGCCUGAUUGACGCUUCAGCCAUUGUGAUUUUGCUCUAGGUUCCAACGAAAUUCUAUAAACCUGUCAGAUUAAGUUUCUUAACUCUGAAAGAAUAUUGCAUGUUCCCGCUCCCCCUUUUCUGUUUUCUUUCCCCUCCCUCCUUUUCCCCAUUACUCCCUGCCUUCCUCCCUCUUUCUUUCAGCUGUAACAGCUGGAAACCAGUAACUUGAGCUUCCAAUAGAAUACAUUUACUUUCUAUUAAAUGUUCUCACCACAAAGAACUGAUAAAAAUUUGAGAUAAUGGGUACGCUAAUUACUCUGAUUUGAUCAUUCCACAUGUAUAUGUGUAUCAAAAUAUCACUUUGUACCUCAUAAAUAUGUACAGUUGUCAAUUAAAAAUAAAAUAAAACUGAAAAAU
rnacentral:lncRNA from 10 species